rfam:Salmo salar isolate Sally breed double haploid chromosome ssa17, whole genome shotgun sequence.
UGCAUUCACUACUGUAAGUUGCUCUGGAUAAGAGUGUCUGCAAAAUGAAUAAAA